AACGAACGCUGGCGGCAGGCCUAACACAUGCAAGUCGAGCGCCCCGCAAGGGGCGCGGCAGACGGGUGAGUAUCGCGUGGGAACGUACCUCUUGGUUCGGAACAACUCCGGGAGACUGGAGCUAUUACCGGAUAAGCCCUAACGGGGAAAGAUUUAUCGCCGAAUGAUGGGCCCGCGUCUGAUUAGCUAGUUGGUGGGGUAAAGGCGCACCAAGGCGACGAUCAGUAGCUGGUCUGAGAGGAUGAUCAGCCACACUGGGACUGAGACACGGCCCAGACUCCUACGGGAGGCAGCAGUGGGGAAUAUUGGACAAUGGGCGAAAGCCUGAUCCAGCCAUGCCGCGUGAGUGAUGAAGGCCUUAGGGUUGUAAAGCUCUUUUGUCCGGGAAGAUAAUGACUGUACCGGAAGAAUAAGCCCCGGCUAACUUCGUG
rnacentral:rRNA from 1 species